GCGGUGCCUGUGGAGCUGGACGGCGGCUGGGAAGGGUCCCCGCCUCCAAGAUGGGUGCCAAAAUGAUGAAUAUCAGGUGUCUAUUGGUGAAAGUUGGGGAAGAUCCCAGACCUUAACAGCCCUUUGGUGGAGGCCCCCACAUUGUGGCAGAAUAUAGAUAUAUCUGCGUAUUUGGAAUUGGUAGUCAGUUGGUACAGAGGAUUUCUCUGCGUGAGCUCAGCCUGACAUCUAGCUGGCAUCCUGGCUCUGGACCUGCGUACUUCUACACGUCCACUGUCUCAGGUUCCAGGAUCCUUGGAUUCUCUGACUCUGAAAUUCUGUGGUAUCACAAAGGCCUGAAUGGGGUGAUAGACAG
rnacentral:lncRNA from 1 species